CAGUAGCCGCGGUAAUACAGAGGAUGCAAGCGUUAUCCGGAAUGAUUGGGCGUAAAGCGUCUGUAGGUGGCUUUUCAAGUCCGCCGUCAAAUCCCAGGGCUCAACCCUGGACAGGCGGUGGAAACUACCAAGCUGGAGUACGGUAGGGGCAGAGGGAAUUUCCAGUGGAGCGGUGAAAUGCGUUGAGAUCGAAAAGAACACCAACAGCGAAAGCACUCUGCUGGGACGACACUGACACUAAGAGACGAAAGCUAGGGGAGCAAAUGGGAUUAGAUACCCCUGUAGUCCCUGUCUCUUAUAC
rnacentral:rRNA from 1 species